GCCGGGUGUCGUGGCUGACGCUUGUAAUCCAGCUACUCGGAGGCUUGGUACAGAGGAUGGUUUGAGAUCGGGAGUUCUGGACCGUGCCGCUUCACGUAGACCGAGCGUCCGCAUCAAGAGCGGCGUCAAUAUGGUCACCAUCAAGGAGUUGGCGGUGACCAGGUUGGUCAAAGAGGGGCGAAACUGGCCCAGGGCGGAAACGCAGCAGGCAAAAGUCCCCGCGUCGUUACAGUGGUGGGAUAGCGCUUGCGAGUGAGUGGUGCGGUUCAGCCCGGUCAAUACAGCCAGACCUGUUCCUUU
rfam:Trichuris suis scaffold150.6, whole genome shotgun sequence.